rnacentral:misc_RNA from 1 species
CUUCUUCUUUCCUCUCUUUCUUCUCCUCUAUUAUGUUCUUCUCCAAAACACAGCAGUGUCGUUCACACAAUCUCUUUUCUUCUUUUUCUCUCCUCCUUUCUUCUUGAAUUUAGUUGUAUAAGUAUUCAAUAUUAGUUGUUUGCUUUUAUAUAGGUAUUGUUAAUUUAUUCUCUAAAACACGGUAAGUUUUCUUGUAUAUUCACAAUUUGUUGUUUAAUUUAUAUGGAUAUUGUUAAUUUGUUAAUUUCUCGUUUACUUUUACUUUUUAUUACUGUUACUUAGUUGCUUAAUUUAUAUAGGUAUUAUUAAUUACUUGUUAAACUAGUUAAAAAUAUGAACUUUUAUGUUAGAAGCACAUAUAUAAACGUAAUUUAGGCAAUAUAGGCUAUGGCACCUUGCUUCAAAAAGCCUCUUGCUUCGCCUCUCACCUAAGCCCUGUCGCCUCUCGCCUUGAUAACACUGGCUGACUAUUGUUUCUUGCUAGUAUUGAACUGAGAAAGCCUUGAUAGUAUUGUUUUAUUGCUUUUUUAAUUUCUAUUGCUUUCUAAUUUUUUUUAUGUUAGAUCAUAGAUGGAUAAUAAGAGUAAUAAAACUAAAUUUUUUACUAGCAGCAGAGGCACAUGUAAUUCAAAUUAGUAAAAAUAAUAUCAAUGAUCUUCAUUGCAUCUACUGUUUGAAAUUUUUUUUUUUUUUAGGGGGGGGGGGGGGGGAAAUUAAUAAUAU